rnacentral:rRNA from 1 species
GACGUAGGAGGCGAGCGUUGUCCGGAUUCAUUGGGCGUAAAGAGCUCGUAGGCGGUCCUUUAAGUCGGAAGUGAAAUCUCAGGGCUCAACCCUGAAAUUGCUUUCGAUACUGGCGGACUUGAGGCAGGUAGGGGAGAGCGGAAUUCCUGGUGUAGCGGUGAAAUGCGCAGAUAUCAGGAGGAACACCGGUGGCGAAGGCGGCUCUCUGGGCCUGUACUGACGCUGAGGAGCGAAAGCGUGGGGAGCGAACAGG